GCAGAGGCACACCGGGAGCAUCCUGCUGACUUACCCUGCUCGGGGCUGCUGUCCUUUAAGCAAUACAAAACGCAGCAGCCAUUUCCUCAAAUCCUAACUUCAUCGCUGAUCUAGAUGUUUCUCAACCUGACAGCUUAUCCUGGGUUUCACGAAGCACGGGCUAACUAGCCAUAUUGAACUGUGGAGUGAGCCUGUGGAUGAGCUCCCCUCCCGCUAGCCUCCUCCUCACUCUCCCCUCUGUGUGCCCUGCUGCAUCCUGCCUAGAUGCAAGAGCAGCUCGCCGGAGGCUUCCACCUUGGCUCCCAGGGGGACAUCCUGCAAAAUGAAUCAGCAGCCAUCCUGAGCAGGCUGAUUAAAAUGAAAAUGGCAAGGCACAUGUCUGGGCGGAACUGGAGCUCAGCUUUGUUGCCUGUCUGACAAGCAAGCUCAAUAUAGCUCUUGCUAAUAAUGGCUUACUGCCUUUCGGUUUUUAAAAAGGCUGAAGGACUGAUAUUUUGUCCCUGGAGUCCACUGCACCUCUUCACUCAACACCCCGCUACUGUGUGGCCUUCAACCUCAUCUGAUCAGCAAUAACUGCCCUGUCUCUAGUCAGGUUCGAGGCACCAGGAUCCUUCCCACCCACCCCUGCCUAUCAUCAGAGCUGGAGAGGCCAGCAUACACAUGACUUAGAGGAAAGAAAGAAAAGAUGAAGGAAGCAUGAUGCCGUGGAGCAAGAGUACAGAGCCACUCCAGCCUGUGUUCAGCAACCGCUUGAUAAGUUAUGGGUCAACACACAGCAGCUACUACAACUGCUGUUCAAGGGCAUCCAGGCUGCACCAUGAGCUACUGGCAGAAUUUGGCAUGGAAGAUGCAAGAGUAAAAAGAAGAUAUAUUCAACACUGUCAGAAUCUAUUCCUUGAACCCAUAGUGCUGAACUGUUGGAUUAGAAGUCAGAGGCAAGCAGUAUUUCAGGAGAAUUCACAGAUGCAAUGUUACCACAUGUGAGGUAGAAGAUGAGUCCUUUAUCUAUGCAGAGGAUGAAAUUUUCCUUUCACUCCUGCAAGAAGGCAGACCUAUGCAAGGACAGGAAGGGUUUUGUAAAUGUGGGUGCCUACCAGCUUCUACAGUUACUGGGAUAUAACUACAAGGUCCGGUAUGAGUUUGGAGACAGAAAGGUAAGAUACAGUACUAUGUCCUACCUACUUUUGCUUCUUCAUGGUCCUUCACUUACUGUGGGGUGACCAAGUAGAGAAUUCAGUGCUGGCUGAGGGCAUCAUUUCUAAUGGUGAAAAUACUACAGGACUGCUGCAUACCAAUAAGGGAGAGGGAAAUGCAAGACAAACAGGGUUCCUGAGCAAUCACCCAGAAUUACAGGCCCAUGGAUAAAGCAGUGGGACUAGAGCCUUAGAUGGGUUCCACAGCCUGGACUCAGCCUUGCAGUGCACACAUUGAGGCUAUAUUUGGAGCCCUUUAGCCACACAGGGUGGGGAAAGGCUCAGGCAGCCUUCAUUUGGAGCUUGGAGAUCUUAUUCUAUUUAGGCUCCCUGUGUUUCUCUGGCUCCCUAAAACAGGUAUUACUGUUCUAUUUCUACCUUCAGGAUUUCCGUGUUCCAUUAUUGCCCAUGUUUGAAUGCUCCAACUGCUGAGGGCUUCAUUCUGCUACCAUACCUUGACCUUCCCUUAUGUCCAGCAAAGACAUCAGUAUCCACCACACAGGCUUCUGGAUCCCUCACUUAAAGAAUGCUGUCCUCUACAGCACCUGGUGAUUGACAGUGAAUCUUAUCCAUCAUGGCCCGGAAAUGCCUCCUCAGCAUGAUUUCUGAAUGCACGUGGUCAAGAGUCAGGCUGUGUUUCCUUUAACCUCCUCAGAAAGGGACCUCAAAUUUGGGAUUGAACAGUGUGCUGUUUUGCAGAGAUCACAAGAAGUGGGUCAGACCCCACUCUCUGCACUGGUUUCAGGUACUUGUAGAACUUAGACAAUCCACUUUAGUUUAUAGGGUUAGACUACCAUUCACCAAAAGAAUUUAAUUUCUAAAUAGAAAUAAAAGUACAAACAGUUGUUGAUAUUAUGGGAAAUUACAAAUGAAAGCUCACCAAUUUCACGGUUUGGGAAAUUAAAGGCUAGGAAAACAGUGGCAGGUCCGAAAUUAGAGACAGGCAUAGACAAAGGCAAGGAGAGACAAACAUAGAGAGAUGCAGGGAUAGAUAUGGACAUAGAGAGACAGAGACAUGGAGUCAGAAACAAGAAAAACAGAGUGAGAAAUGAAGAGAGCAAAAAUGAUAAAAGAAUGAGAAAGAAGAAGAUAGGAAAGGGAGAUGGAAAUGACAGACAUGGAUAGAGAGCUUCUAAUGUGUAAUCUGCUCACUGAGGGUGGAGCCCUGACCUACAUCGAGAAACCUAGUGCUUUUCUGCUAAAAUCAGCAACCUGAAGAUGUCUAAGAAUGCAGGGAUGAAAGGAAAUGAAAAAUUUACCUCUAGGUCACUAGAGCUCAUCUGGACAUGAACUGAAACUGGAAUAAGAAUUUUGCAGAGUUUGAAAAGCCUCAUGGAUUUCACCCAUGCACUCAUAAGUGGAGCCCCUGUGGCUGGUGAGGAAACACUUCUUCAAAUAAUUCCCACAUUUGUCUCAUCUAAUGACAAGGUCGGAAGUCACAGGUGCAUAGUAAUGUGAGCAAUUCAAUCAAGACCCAAACUUAACACAUGCCAAAGCUUAGUCUGUUCCUUUCUACCAGGGUGUCUUAGUUCAUGUUCUUUUGCUAUGAAGAGAUACCAUGACCAGGGAAACCCUUACUAAAGAAAGUAUUUAAUUGCUUGCUUACAGUUUCAGAGGUUUGGUCCAUUAUCAUCAUAGAGGGAAGCAUGGCAGCAAACAUCAUUCUGGAGAAAUAGCCAAGAGUUCUACACCAGGAUUUACAGGCAGUGGGAAGAGAGAAAGCCACUGGGCCUGGCUUGGACUUUGAAACCACAAAGCACACCCCCAAUGACAUACCUCUUCCAACAAGGCCACACCUACUCCCUCAAAGUCCACAUCUCCUAAUCCUUCUCAAGUAGUACCACUCCCUGAUGACCAAGCAUUCAAAUAUAUGAACCUAUGGUAGGGGCAUUCAAAUUUAAAACCACCACACAGGGUCAUAAUCCCCCCAGAACUGUGUGAGUUUAAGACAACACUUAAGUAGCUCGAGAUGGAUUGCCAUGCCUUCUGGUUCUCUAUUACAUCUAUGUAAUUUCUUCAAUAUGUGGAAAUCUUCAGUCUUAGAGAAUAGAAUUCUCAGAGCCAAAACCACUAAAAAAAAAAAAUUAACCCUAGAAAAUAAAGCAGUAUGGUACAUUUGCUAAUUGCUUGCUGAUAUCAAAAUCAUCAUCAUCAUCGGCUGGAGAGAUUGCUCAGUGGUUAAAAACAGCAUGUAUUACUCUUGUAUAGUUUUUGGUUUUCAGCACCCAUAUUAGGGGGCUCAUAACCACUCAUAACUUUAAUCCAGAGGAUUUGGCACUAUCUCCUGGCCUCUUCAGGUACCUAUGGUCACAUGCCUUCCCCAUGUACAUAUAAUUAAAAAAACAAGUCUUUAUAAAGGGGAAACUGAAAUUUCCAAUGUAUGUCUAAUAAACUUGUUUUUAAAAGAUAAGUCUCAGAAGAAAAG